UGAUGAUGAUGAUGAUGAUGAUGAUGAUGAUGAUGAUGAUGAUGAUGGUCGUCGUCUUCGUCGUCGUCGUCAUCGUCAUCGUCAUCAUCAUGUGUG
rnacentral:pre_miRNA from 1 species